CUCCAUUUUUCUUAGCAUAUCUUUAGCUUCAUCUAACAACCCUUCUAGACAAAAUCCAUUUAUCAUUAUAUUGUAUGUUAUCACAUCGGGAAACAAUCCAAUUAAAGAAAGCUUCUCAAAAAUAGCAUGAGCUCUUUUGAGCUGGCCAGUUUUGCACAAUCCGUCUAUUACAACAUUGUAAAAUUCAAUAUUAGUAUCUUCUCUCUUUCUUUCCAACUCAUGAAAUAGCAAUAUAGCUUUCUCAACAAGUCCAUUCUGAAAAUAACCACGGAGCAAAAUGCAAUUAGUGCAUAAAUCAGGUUUGAGCCCUAUAGAUAGCAUCUCAGCGAAGAAUUUUUGCACAAAGUGAAUUCUUCCAACUUCAAAUAGACCUUGCAAGAUAGUAUUGCAGGUAACAAUGUCAGGCUCCAAUCCGUUUCGAGAAAUUUCAUGAAACAAAUGCAUGGCCUCAUCCAAUUUAUUGUUCUUACAAUAUCCAUUUAUUAAUAUGUUAUAGCUAAUAAUGCCAGGCUUAAUGCUCUUAUCUACCAUCGAAUCGAAAAGUCUCCUUGCUUUAUCCAUUUGACCGCGCAAGCAAUAUCCAUCGAUCAUCGUACUGUAGGUGAAUACAUUUGGCUCUACACCUUUUACAAUCAUGUGUCUCAUUACCUCCUCAGCAUCUUCAACUUUCCCUUCUUUGCAUAGACCAUCUAUCAGUAUGCUGAAGGUGCGGACAUCAGGAUAAAUAUUAAGAUUUACCAUUUCAGAGAACAAAUUCCUAACCUUUUCCCACUGGCCAAGCUUACAACAACCAUCAAUCAACGAACUAUAUGUGAUAACGUCCGGAGGAAUGCCUUUUUGUUUCAUCUCUUCAAAAAGGCUAAUUGCAGCAUCUAACAUUCUAUCUCUGCAUAGGGCAUCUAUAACAAUGCUAUAGAUGUGUGCAUCGGGCUUAGUGCUUCCUUGUUCUAUUACCCUAAGCAAAUCGAAAGUUUUUUGAGUAUGACCCCUUUUGCUAAGCCCAUUCAUGACAAUUGAAUACAUGAAUUCAUUAGGCUCACAAAUAUUCUCUCUCACCGACAUUUUGAACAAGUUAACCGCAUCUUUUAUCUUAUUUUCUUCAAAGAGUCCCUUUAGCAGGGUGCUAAAGGGGACUACAUCAAAUGGAAUGCCCUUCUUCAAGUAAAUGGCUAACACUGAAAAUCCGCAGUCAGAACGAUGCAUUAGGCGAUAAUUGUUGAUCGCAAUACUCAAGAUGAAACCAUCAAUUGGGAUGCCUAAUUUCAGCAUUUGUCGAAAAAGGGAAACAACAGAAGAGUAAUGCUUCAUUUUUACCGUAGUCUUUAAUAAUUUGGAGAAGCUAAAAACAGAAGGAAGAGGCUGCGUUCUGAUCAUCCGACGGAAGAGGCUCAGAGCAUCAUCCAAACACUUGACAUUCUCAAUAUUGGUAUAAGAAGAAGAAUAAUUUCUGAUAGAACGGGUCCGACGGAAGAGGCUCAGAGCAUCAUCCAAACACUUGACAUUCUCAAUAUUGGUAUAAGAAGAAGAAUAAUUUCUGAUAGUAAAUGCCAAAGCACGGGAAAGAGCAAAGGAAAUACCAUUGGAAGAGUAACGCAGAAGAGGAAUUGUCGUCAUCUUCCGAAGCAGUACGGGAAAGAGCAAAGGAAAUACCAUUGGAAGAGUAACGCAGAAGAGGAUUUGUCAGUCAUCUUCAAUUUGGCUGAGGAUGAGUAAGCUCUUCUCUAUCUCGAUGUGCCCUAAUUUUGGGGUGACUACACUUUUCUUCCUUUUCUUCACUUUUCUAAUUAAACUUCUAGUGUUCUGCUAAAGAAAAUGCUUUUCGUUAAAAAUCAAGUUGGCCCUAACUUUAAAUAAACGGUUAAUUUAAAUAUAUUAUUCAAUACUUAUUUUAUUUUUUAAAAACUAUCUACUCAUUGACAUGGAAAACAUAUCCUAAGUCUAGUACAAAAUAAAACGGGAGAAUGAUAUUUAUUUAACGGUUAAGGUGUCAAAUAUAUUUUUGUACUAUUAAAAAUAUGUCAUAUUUAUUCUCCGUUUGAAUUUUUUAUCAAAUAUGUCCCCACCGUUAUACAUUAGGACCAUAUAUAUCCCUCAGCCGUUAAAACACUCUCCCAUAUAUUUAAAUUACGGUUAAGGGUCAAAUAUAUAUGUCCCCAGCGUUAUACAUUAGGGUCAUAUAUAUCCCUCAGCCGUUAAAACUUGUUUCCAAAUUUCUUUUUAACACGUGGCAUGUUCUGAUUGGACCAGAUAACUCGUCCCAUUCGAUUAAUUAAACCCGCCCCGACCCAGCGUGUUAAUACUUUGCACCAGCCAUAUAUUCGGUCAUUUCCAAUUAAUUAAAAGUGUUAGAAAGUUUUGUUUACUGCCCCAUCUCAUUCUGCAGAAACUUUCCACAAUCUUUAAAUAUAACUUUCAAGUUACCUCUUCUCUAACAUAUCAAUUGGAAAUGACCGAAUAUAUGGCUGGUGAGUAUUAACACGCUGGGUCGGGGCGGGGUUAAUUAAUCGGAUGGGGUAGGUCAUCUGGUCCAAUCAGAACAUGUCACGUGUUAAAAAAAAUCUGGAAGCAAGUUUUAACGGCUGAGGGAUAUAUAUAGCAUUAAUGUAUAACGGUGGGGAAAUAUUUGAUAAGAAACUCAAACGGAAAAUAAAUAUGACGUAUUUUUAAUAUAUAGCAUUAAUGUAUAACGGUGGGGACAUAUUUGAUAAAAAAUUCAAACGGAGGAUAAAUAUAACUUAUUUUUAAUAGUACAAGAAUAUAUUUGACCCUUAACCGUUAAAUAAAUAUCAUUCUCCCAUUUUAUAUUGUACUAGACUUAGGGUAUGUUUUCCAUGUCAAUGAGUAGAUAGUUUUUAAAAAUAAAAUAAGUAUUGAAUAAUAUAUUUAAAUUAAAAAAUAAAAUAACUAUUAAGUGUUUAAAAUAUAUUUUUACAAUUAUUGAGUAAAGUUUACUCACUUAAAAUAUAUUUUUAUUUAUAUUGUACGUGAUUUUUGAAGGUUAAAAUAAUUAUUGACUAUAGUCUUCAAAUAUUAUACAAACAAAUCAAUAAAUAAAAAUUUAGUUGGUUUUAAGGCUCUAAAUAUUAAACAUAUUAACAUUAAAGAUGUUAUAAUUAAAAAAAAUAGACUACACUUUAAUGGUAUAAGUUUAUUUUUCAGGACAAUAAUUAUAUAAGAUAAUGUAUAUACAACAGUUUAGUUAUUUAAUUUGAGAGAAAAAAUGUAUAUUGGAUGAAACUUUGAAAUGCUUUAUAAAAAUAUGAUAUGUACAUUCCUAAUAUGUAUCUACUUACAAAAAACAAAAGUAUGGAGGAAAAGAGUCGAAAUAAGCAAAACCUCUUCUUUUUUAAAUUAUUUGAUUUAUAUAAAUUGCAGUGUAUCUACUUACAAAAAACAAAAGUAUGGAGGAAAAGAGUCGAAAUAAGCAAAACCUCUUCUUUUAUAAAUUAUUCGAUUUAUAUAAGAUAAAUUUUAAUGGAUUUUGAUAUAAUAUUAUGAUUGAUUUACUAUGUAGUAAUUCAAGUAAGAAAAACUUUAAUAAGAAUAGUUUUAAUGGAUUUCAAAGUGAUAAAUAUUAGGAAAAUAAUAAAAUAACUAUUUUAUCCAAUAUAAACUCUAUUUUAAAAAAGACGAACACCAUUUCACUAAUGUAUUGAAUUUUAACUAAUUAGUUAAUUCACAUACUUAAUUACUUAUUUUCAACGGUAAGAAAAGUAUUUUUUUUUAAUUCAAAUUCAUAAUAUUAGUACAUCACAAAUUUCAAAUUGUUUAACAACAUCUACACUAAUGUUUAAUCGUAACUAUACUUUUUUUGGUAAUUAAACCGUAACUAUACUUUUAUCUAAUAAGAAUUUUAUGUUCAAAAGACAAAAAAAUCGGUUUGAGGUACACUUGGAAUUUUUUAGGUUGGUUUAAAGUCCUAAUAUUGGAAAGAUAUUUUAAUAUCUUUUCAAUGGUAUCUAUUUUAAACCGUAAAAAAUCAACCAACAUUUGGUUAUAUUAAAUUCCAAAUAUUAAUUAUUUCUUUAACCAUUUUAUUAGAGUGUACAAUUUUGAAUUUUAAUAUAUAAGAGUAAAUACAAAAUUGAUAAGAAUAAUACAACAAAAAAUAGAAACCUUAGAGUUACAAUUUCAGCAUUUAUAUUCGUUUGGGAAACUUUAAUUAGAGUGUGAUAAUAAUCCUAAAUAUUAGGAUCUCUUACCUAGUUUAAUAAGGAAAGAUUUAGUAACAAACAAUAUAUAUACAAAAUUGAUAAGAAUAAUACAACAAAAAAUAGAAACCUUAGAGUUACAGUGUCAGCAUUUAUAUACGUUUGGGAAACUUUAAUUAGAGUGUGAUAAUAAUCCUAAAUAUUAGGAUCUCUUACCUAGUUUAAUAAGGAAAGAUUUAGUAACAAAAUAUUUAAUUGAUUUUAAAGUUUUAGAUAUUAGAAAAAUAAUUUAAAUUACAAUUAUAUCCAAUGUGAAAUAUAGUUUUAAGGGGUAAAAAAGGUGACGAUAUUUCGCUAAGAGUCUUCGGGCUUUUAAUAUAGUAUGGAUAAUAUUUUCUCUUUUUAGUAUUAUUUUUUUUAUUUUUUACGUAGUUAUUUUACAUGUAAAGCCCGGCUAAAAAAAGAGAUAAAAAACAUAAAACAAAAAAGUAAUGUAAGAGAUAGAUUUAUAAAUGUACAAUACGAUUAAUAACUGUACAAUAUAACUAAUAGCGACCAAUAUUAAUUUCAUGCAACCUAUGUCUUAUGAAGAUAUUAAAGACAUCAUGUUCUUUAGCUAAUUUAUACUAUGUAUGUUUGAUUAUCAUUAUAACAUUUUAAAUUAUUUAUAUGAAAAAGCGGACAAGAAACACUUUUGUGGAUAUAUGAGAAUAAUUUACAAAUUGAACUGUAAUUAUAUGAAAAAAGCGGGCAAGAAACACUUUUUUGGAUAUACGAGAAUAAUUUACAAAUUGAACUAUAAAAACUUAUUUCUUGUUGUGGCCUUUUACUAUAAGAAUGAGAAGAAGCUUUUGGUAUUUGAACAUGUUGACAAUGUAUGUUAGCCUUGUAGUUUAUCUAUAUGCGCUACUAUUCAUACAUUUACAAGUAUUACAUUAUAACGUUUUUCUCUCCUAUUCGUCCUCGUUCUUCUUUUAUAUUUUUUUCUUUCACUCUCACCUAUGAUAUUAAGAUUUAAAAGAUCUCAAUUAAUAUAUUAUUUUUGAUAAAACUAAAUGUUCUUCCAUUAUUUAAGAAAAUAUAAAUCAAGUUGAUAUAAGUAGGAAGCUUUUGGUAUUUGAACAUGUCGACAAUGUAUGUUAGCCUUGUAAUUUAUCUAUAUGCGCUACUAUUCAUACACUUACAAGUAUUACAUUAUAACUUUUUUCUCUCCUAUUCGUCCUCAUUCUUCUUUUAUAUUUUUUCCUUUCACUCUCACCUAUGAUAUUACGAUUUAAAUGAUCUCAAUUAAUGUAUUAUUUUUGUUAAAACUAAAUGUUCUUCCAUUAUUUAAGAAAAUAUAAAUCAAAUCGAUAUAAGUAAAUGUAUCUCGUGUUUAUUUCACUAUGUUAGUCGGUGCAUGCCUUGUUUAAACUUGUUCUUUUUAUAUAUUUGUUCUUCAUUGAAAACUAUAAGUUGUUCCUAGAAGGAAUUUCCGAGCUUUUGAAAUAAUAGCUAUGGCACUCUCUUUCUUCCAUAGAGAAGGAACUUAUCCUUAGACUUUUGGAGCUUUGGCUACUAAUUACUUAGACAAACAUUUAAGUAAGAUAUCGAUUUUUUUAAAUUCAAUUGAAGCAGCAUUGUAAUUAUAUGAAAGCACCAAGCCCCAAUUACAAGGUUGCAUACUUGGUUAAUUCCUAGGUUUAAUAAUUAUACCCUAUACUUUGCACUCUUUUUAUUACAAGCCAAUUUUAUUUCUUAAAAGUUUGUGUCACAAAAUUAGCGAUUCAUUUGAUAUGCUAGACCUUCUGUCAAGUUAAUUUAUUCAGCAUACUAACUUCAUACCCUAUAAACUCUUCUUAAAUUCAAUUGAAGCAACAUUGUAAUUAUAUGAAAGCCCCAGGCGCCAAUUACAAGGUUGCAUACUUGGUUAAUUCCUAGGUUUAAUAAUUUUACCCUAUACUUUACACUCUUUUUAUUACAAGCCAAUUUUAUUUCUUAAAAGCUUGUGUCACAAAAUUAGCGAUUCAUUUGAUAUGCUAGACCUUCUGUCAAGUUAAUUUAUUCAGCAUACUAACUUGAUACCCUACAAACUCUUUUUAAGUGUGUUGAAGAAUAAAUAUUUUAUAAUCUGAGUACAAAAAAGUUUCAAUUUUAAUGGACUCCUAGACUGUACUCAAAAUAUUUGUUAUACUUCAUAUUAUAAGUGUCUAACUGACCGGGUCAGCAUGUUUCCGGACCGGUCUAAACCGGUUGAAACCGAAACCAGCCCGAAGCGGUACAAGGAGGCCGGGUGAGGCUAGGUUAAAUGCGUAGGGGUUUUGGUCCAUUCGUCUAUUUUUAACCGGUUAACCGGACCGGUCAAACACGAUCAACAAAAAUAUUGUAGAACCGGUUAAACCGGCUUGGACCGAUUCAGACUGGUUAACGGCUAGUUUUUUAAAAAAAAAUAAUUGUUGAUUGGGCAACCCAUGUUAACCAUUGGCAACAGUCAUCCGCCAAUAAGUCGUUGCCCAACGGCUGAUUUGCACAAAUAGCCCUUUUUGGGCCUUUCUUUUGAAAAAAUUUACACUUUUGUAAUUACAAAUUUAAACCUUUGAAAAAUUAUGAAUACACCCUCCCCCCCCCCCCCCCCUAAUUACAAAUUUAACCUUUUGAAAAAUUAUGGAUACACCCCCCCUUCUUCAUUUCCUCAGUCGUCUCUCAUUUCUUAAACUCAAAUUCUCAAUUCAAGUUAUAUGAUGCCUCGUACUUCUAGAGUGCGCUCAUAUGUGUUAGGAACACUUUGAGGUGGUAGAAGACAAUGAAGAAGUUCAUAAAGUAAAGUGCAAGAACUAUGGUCGAUAUUAAAUCUCGUCCAAAGUGUGGCACAAACACUUUAAGGAGGGAUAUGAAGAGUUGACUUGAGCGUCCUCAGAAAAUUUGUAUUAAGUUUGUUUUGAGAUAUUUUGUAUUAUUUUAAAAUUAGUAACUUAUUAUAUUUAAAAUAUGCUAUAUAGGUAUUAUUUUAAGAUUUUAAGACAAUUUGUAUUAUUUUAAAAUUAUUAUACGUAUUUAUGCUUAAUGUUUUAGUUUGUUAGAUUAAUUUGAAGUAUUAUUAUGCAUGAAAAUUUAGUUUUACUCUUCUUUUUUUUUGUUAUUUUACUUGUUAAAUGCAAACUUCAAUUUUGUAAUUUGGAAAUAAGUGUAGCACUUGCAAGUUAUAAGUGUAAUUUUUUUCUAUCUUCAUUGUAUUCUUUAUAUUUUUACUUUAUAUUAAUAUAACUUACAAUAGUUAUAUAGAAUACAUUUUUUUUAAAAGUACACUAACCUGACCCGGCGCGACCCACCCGUUAGACACCCUUAUGAUAUUGCGCUUUAUUUGAUUUAAGCUUCUAAACGAGUAGUAGCUCGUUAGGUGCUGGUUGCUUCUCAUGAAAUUACACUAACCCAGCCCGACCCCUUGUACCUGUAACCUUUACAUUUAUUUUUUAUUUAUUUAUUUUCUUUUUCUUUUUGUUUUCUUCAUCUCUUUAUUUUCUUUCUUUUACAACGCCAGUGCACCAUUCAAGUAUUUAUUUCCUGAUUCCCCUUUUUUCUCUACUUCCCUAUUAUCCCACACUUUGACUUUUGUAUGUUCUUUAGUAAUUCAAGUGCUUCUAGGAGGCAUAGGUUCAAAUAGUCAAACUAUUUAAACACAUGGAUAUAAGUCAUUAUAUGGUUAUCAAAGAGCAUGCUUCAGGCUGAAAGGGGUUAACUAUGGCAAUAUAUACAGGUGGAUUUACAAUUAUACAUGCUUACACAAAGAAAUGCCUCAAUCAUCUCUAAAACCAAACAACUUCUAUUUCACUUUGCAAACACAAAGGGCAAGUUCCAGGUAUCGCAUGCAAGCACAGAAUGCAAAUAAUAGCUCACACACACUUAGCAUGUAACACAUUCCGAAUCAGUUUAUCAACACACUCAUACGAGGGUUCAAGAAAGACAAGAUGUGCAAAAUUAAGGCAUAGAUUUACGUGUCUACAAUCGAGCCUAGACGUCGCACCCUCAAGUUCAUUUUAGUUAUUUGCAGGUUUGAACAUUAAGGGUUGCAUUCUCGACUUCACCCAUUUUGGUCCGAGAGAGUCCUAGUGGUCCUACAGCUACAAAAGAAAAAUUUACCCAACCCGGUUCUAGUUAUUUGCAUGUGUGAACAUUAAGGGUUGCAUUCUCGACUUCACCAUUUUGGUCCGAGAGAGUCCUAGUGGUCCUACAACUACAAAAGAAAACUUUACCCAACCCGGUUCAAGAAAAGCCCUUGGAAAAGAACCGUGGUCAAAAUAAAAACCAUGGGAGAAUUACUACACUACAUAAAAAGAAAAAAAAAUAAAAUGAAAAAAAUCUACAUGGACUACUUCCCGCAAGAGUACUGUCCAAGUGGUCCGUCCUCAGGAAGAGUCAUCUACAUAUUUUUUUCAGUUUUUCAUUUUUUUUAAAUUCAACUUUGACCCUCAAGAGACCCGUCGACAAGUGUCCAUCGCUGGGCCAAGUCAGUUACUUCGAAUGUGAGUAUAGUCAAUUAUACACAACAACACCAAUCUAAUACCACUACAUCCACAAUGUCUAUAUACACUACAAUAUACUACCAGAGCAAGUCUCCCACCCCACAUUUAAAAUUAUGGCAUGUCCCCAUGUCAUGUCAAAAAUAAAGAGCAGAAGGGUAAGAAGACUUCCUUGAGCCUCAAUCAGAGUCGGAGACGGUGCUGGGGUCCACAUAGCAAGCUCUCCCUAAAGCACAAAACCAGGACAUAAACUUGCUCUCAGACCUUGCCUGCUGCUGAGACAUGGCAUCCAUAUGCGUGUGUAGGCCAUCGACGAGGUGCGAAGAUCCGCGACCUCUUCCUCCAUAGUAUGUAACAUAAGUUGGGUGGACUGUGAUCUGGUUAAGCCUUCCCCGGCAUGGGGGCACCGAGAGGGUCGGGCUCCGUCAAUUGAUCUCCUAGAUGGUGUUGGGGGUUCAUUCUCAUCAUCAAUCUAAAUGGUAGUGUGUGCACCCCUGCCCACUCUGAUGCCCAAAGCUUUGAAUGUUAUUUUAGCAAGCAACUCUCCAUCGGUAGGAUUGGUCGGAACAUUUUUUAUCAGGCACAAUGUAGUCACCAGGGAGGGGAAUUAGAAUCCCUUUGACAGCAGCGGAGACCACACGACCAUUUCAUCACCAAUUAGUCUUGGCGCAUCAAAAUCUUUCUUUGUGACGAAGCACCACGUUAAGAGGGCUUUUUGGAAGUUCACGUCAAUAGUGUUACCUGAAAGCAUGAACCGGCUGCAAAUGACGGUUAACCAACACUUAGCCAAAUAGGUGAAUGAAUUGGAGUUCAGGGUGAUAUGGUUCCGUAUCCAGGUUGGUUGACCCCAUGCGCAGAGUGCAUCAAUCAUAGUCUCCCAAGUGACUCCUGGUGCAUCCUGGUAAUAGUCGAUGUCAACAGUAAACUGGGGCAGCCGCAACACCUGGCGAAUAAUUUCAACUGAGGCAUCGACCACCUUGACCCUCACAAUCACCUCCCGCAAUAUGUGUGCUGGGCAGUUCGAGUAGAACUCUCUCACGAGCGUCUUGUUCACCGUUGCAGGUUCAUUAAAUAAGAACUCCAUUUCCCUCCGCCGAAUUUCCUCAUACAUAUCUUCCUUUUCCACAUGGAGGGCUGCCUUGUCAAUCAGAAUCUUAGGGAUGAAGCUCUUUAAGGCCUUGGCGUGAAAGUCGUCCUCUAACAAUUCUGAUUCGAACCAGGAGGCAUCAUAUGUAGGCUGUUGGGAUUUCCCUUCCGAUCUCUUUUGCUUCAUACGAGCCAUAGUACCUGCAAAGAAUUCAGAAGAACCAUCAAAUGCACCCUAGCUAGUGCCAGGCGGAUGGGUACUCAGACUUCACCACCCCAUGGUACCGAACAUUAACCCCCAUUGAUUUCUUCCUUUCAAACGAUCCCAACUAGCAUGGUGUUGAAGGUUACAACCUACACAAUGGUCCUCACAACAGUUCUAACUCACAAUAUUCGGCAUACAACACCCUACACUUACUCUCUCAAGUGGUUUACGUCAAAUACAAUACAACCAUUCACCAAAUACAACACCACCACAACCUAGGAUAGGCACAAACUGACUCAAAAUAUCGCAACAAGCCUCAAAUUUUCAGCCAAAAGGGGCCCUCCACCAAACUACACUACAAAAAUUAUUUCUAGGCCUCCAAAUCAUCUAAACAUCCCCCACAAUUGAAGCACAAUAAAGACCUACCCAGUUAAGCACCACACAAGUCCACAAGAAGCAAUUACAACAAUAAAAAAUAAAAAAAUAAUCAAAAAUUUGAAAGAAAAUUAACCUAUUCCUUCCUAGGGUUUAACUAAAUUACACUAAUUAGAAGAAGAAGUAGAAAAACAAGAAAAGAAAACUUACUUGAUGAACAAUGGGGGUGAUGAGUAGUGGAGAUGGAGGUUUGGAGAAGAUGAGAAUGGAGUCUGGGUGAGAGAAAGGGGAUUUUUUAGAGAGAAAAAAGAGAAAGAGAGAGAAAAGGGAUUUGGGUUUGGGGUGGGAACGUUAGGUUCUGAUUCAGAUUGGGGAAUAAGGGGUUUAGGGGUAGGUACAGAGUAGUUUGUGUAAAAGCGGGUGAAAAAUAAAAAUUAAAUAAAUUAAAAAAUUCACGUACCUGGGUCUGUCGCGGUUCUACCGCUGUCGCGGUGGAACCGCGGUUGACAAAGUUCAGAGAGGGGUUAUAACCGUGGUUUGACCGCGGUCGCGGUGCAACCGCGGUGGACUGGGUUCAGAGGGGUGUUUUUCCGACCGCGGUCGUGGUGGAACCGCGGUUUGGGCACUUCUCUGUUUCUAUGCGUUUUUUUUCUAUAUAAAGUGUUACACUUACAAUAAUUUCGUGAGUUGCCUCCCACGCAGCGCCUGAUUUAACGUCACGGCACGACUUAGAUGACCGUAAUUAAGGCUUGCUCGACCUCUGUGGUUCAGUCAGAUGCAGCUCAGACACUUCCUUUGGCUCGCUUUCUUUUUGAAAAAAUUAACACUUUUGUAAUUACAAAUUUAACCCUUUGAAAAAUUAUGAAUACAUCCCCCCUUCUUCAUUUCCUUGUACAGUUUCAAUCGCUGACCAUUGACUCUAAUUGUACGAGAGUCAUUCUCGGUGGCAAUUUCAACAGCUACUUACGGGAAAACUUCAACUACUCAAAAUGGUCCAGACCAUUGUGACUUAAGCUUACCUGGGAACAACCUUAGACUUGAGUUGUAGAGAAAUACCAUGUCCCCAAGUUUGAAAUUUCGCUCAACAAUGUUCUGGUCGUGCAGCCUCUUCAUUUUCUCCUUGUAUAGCAUUGUGCUCUAGAAAGCAAGAUAUAUGAACUCGUCGAGCUCAUGCAAUUGAGUGACUCUUGAUGUGACCGCAACUUCCAUGUCUAAGUUCAGGUGUUUCAAUGCCCACCACGCUUUAUUUUCAAGUUCCACUGGCAGGUGGAAGGCCUUCCCAAACACCAACUUGUACGGUGACAUACCAAUUGGUGUCUUGAAAGCAGUUCUAUAAGCCUAAAGUGCAUCAUCUAGCUUCCUCGCUCAAUCAGUUCUUGUGGCAUUGACGAUUUUGGUUAACACACUCAUGAACUCUCUGUUGGACACCUCUACAUGUCCACUAGUCUGCGGGUGGUAGGGAGUAGCCACUUUGUGGCGCACAUCGUACUUAAUCUGCAACUUUUCAAAGGCUCUAUUGCAGAAGUGAGUGCCCCCGUCACUAAUAAUCUCUCGUGGUGUCCCAAAGGGAGUGAAUAUGUUCUUCUUUAGAAAUCCCACCACCACUUUUGCAUCAUUGGUGGGAAACGUUGCAGCUUCUAGCCACUUAGACACAUAGUCUACAGCAACAAGAAUGUACUUAUUUCCAUAGGAUCUGACGAAGGGACCCAUGAAAUCAAUCCCCCAGACGUCAAACACUUCCACCUCUUGAAUUGGGUUCGUGGGCAUCUCGUGGCCCCGGGAAAUGUUCCUGGUGCGCUAAAAUUCAUUGCAGCCCUUCAUCCAUAAAUGAGCAUCUUUAAAUACUAUUGGCCAGAAGAAUCCAGCCUCUAGCAACCGGUAAAUGUUCCCGGUGCGCUAAAAUUCAUUGCAGCCCUUCAUCCAUAAAUAAGCAUAUUUAAAUACUAUUGGCCAGAAGAAUCCAGCCUCUAGCACCUUUGCCGUUGUCCUGACCCCUCCAAUCCACCAUAAGACGAUGCAUGACAAGCCUGCAACACAGAAGAUUCUUCUAUCUCGGGGACGCAUAUCAAGGCAUAUUCUAAACAUAUAGAGCUCAUCCCAGUAAUACAAACAGCUUUCACGAAAAAAUCUUUUUCUUUGGAACGAUGAAAGGUUGUGAGGAACUAUACCACUGGCCAGGUAAUUAGCAAAGUCUGCAUAUCAUGCCGCUUCCUGAUGAGUGGUGGCAAGUAGCUGCUCGUCUGGAAAAGUUUCCAGAAUUUCCUCAACCUCAAAUACAUUUUCAGCUCCCUCAAGUCAAGAUAGAUGAGCAGAUGCUCAUCUGGAAAAGUUUCCAGAAUUUCCUCAACCUCAAAUACAUUUUCAGCUCCCUCAAGCCGUGAUAGAUGAUCAACAACUUGAUUCUCAGUGCCCUUACGGUCACGAACCUCAAGAUCGAACUCUUGUAGUAACAACACCCAACGAAUCAGGAGUGGCUUAGACUCUUUAUUUUCUAUUAAGUACCUGAGAGAUGCAUGGUCAGUGUAUGAAAUUACCAUGGAUCCUAUCAGGUAGGAUCGGAACUUGUCAAGCGCGAACACUACAACCAACAUCUCUUUUUCAGUCACAAUGUAGUUCAACUGGGCUCCACUCAGCGUUCUACUAGUGUAGUAGAUUGGGUGCAUCAAUUUGUCUUUCCGCUGGCAUAGCACUGCCCCCACUACAUAGUCACUGGCAUCACACAUUAGUUCAACUGGUUGCUCCCAGUUGGGGGCAACAAUGAUGGUUGAUGUGACCAACCUCUUUUUCAACUCCUCAAACGCUAUCCUGCAAUCAUCAAAAAAUAAAAAUGGUUGAUCUUUUUCUAACAACUUACAGAGAGGGUUGGAAAUUUUGGAGAAGUCUUUUAUGAACCUCCGGUAGAAACCGUCAUGCCCAAGGAAGCUUCUGAUUUCUUUGACUUAAGUUUGUGGAGGCAGCUUUGCUAUUACAUCAACUUUCGCGCGAUCCACCUCUAUUACCUUGCUUGACACCCGGUGUCCCAAGACAAUGCCUUCUUGUACCAUGAAAUGACACUUCUCCGAAUUCAAAACCAAGUUAGUAUCGAUGCAACGUUUCAGCACACGCGUCAGAUUUAUCAAGCACUCAUCAAAUGAAUUCCCCACCACUGAGAAGUCAUCCAUGAACACCUCCAUUAUAUCCUUUACCAUGUCAGUGAAUAUGGACAUCAUGCACCGUUGGAAUGUGACAGGUGCAUUACAUAGGCCAAAGGGCAUCCUCUUGAAGGCAUAAAUGCCAUAUAGGCAGGUGAAGGAGUUCUUCUCUCUAUCAUCCGGUGCAAUAGAGAUCCGAUUGUACCCUGAGUACCCAUCUAGAAAAUAGAAGUGAGAUCUCCCUGCCAGUCUGUCCAACAUCUGAUCAAUGAAGGAAGUGGGAAGUGGUCUUUCUUGUUGGCUAGAUUCAACUUUCGAUAGUCCAUACAGAUUCUCCAACCUGUGACGGUUCUUGUUGAGAUCAAUUCAUUGUUGUCAUUCUUCACAACCGUCAUGCCACCCCUUUUAGGAACACAUUGAACUGGGCUUACCCAGCUGCUGUUAGAAAUUGAGAAAAUAAUUCCUGCAUCAAACCACUUUAUCACCUCCUUCUUCACCACUUCCUUUAUGUUGGGGUUCAGCCUUCUCUGGUAUGGUCUUACCCAGCUGCUGUUAGAAAUUGAGAAAAUAAUUCCCGCAUCAAACCACUUUAUCACCUCCUUCUUCACCACUUCCUUCAUGUUGGGGUUCAGCCUUCUCUGAUGUUCCCUGGAAUGUUUGUUCCCCACUUCUAGUAGUAUCUUCUACAUAUAGUCGGCGGGGCUGAUCCCCUUGAUGUCUUCCAUGGUCCACCCAAUGGCAGUUUUCCACUCCUUUAGUACCUGUAAAAGUUGUUGAACCUCCACAUAUAACAAACUAGAUGAUAUAAUAAUAGGUAAUGUGGAGUCGCGUCCCAGAAAUUCAUACCUGAGAUGGGUUGGCAAUGGCUUUAGCUCCAGCUUUGGUGGUUCUUCAAUGGAGGGCUUAGCUGGAGGAGUUUCUCUCUUUUCUAAGUGCAAGGGCUCAAACUCUAGAUUUCUCUCCCAGGACCCUCCACCUUCCAAUGCCAAUACCCAUUCUACCAAAUCCUCACCGUUCACUUCAUCUAAAUUCAUCAAACAUGCAGCAAGGGGGACCUCCAUAGUCAACACCUCAUCAUUAGACUCUACUAUUACAUCCACGGCAUCAGUUAGAGAGCAAUUGGUGAACUUGCUAGGUCACCUCAUAGACCUCUGCACAUUGAAUGUUAUUUCCUCAUCAUUGUGCCUCAUCUUGAGCUCCCCAGUCUCACAAUCAAUUAGAUCUAUCCCCAUGGCCAAGAAUGGUCUUCCUAAGAUUAUAGGAAUUUCUUCAUCCACAUUGCAAUCCAAUAUUACAAAAUUUGCAAGGAACACGAAUUUUUCCACCUGAAUCAGCACAUCAUUAAGGAUCCUAAAUGGACGCUUCACAAUCUUGUUGGCCAGCUGCAACAACAUGGAGAUGGGUCUAUCUCUCCCAAUUCCCAACCUCUUAUAAAUAGCCACGGGCAUAAGAUAAAUGUUGGCCCCUAAAUCACAGAGUGCCUUAGCAAAGGCAACGUUUCCAAUAGUGCAUGGAAUAGUAAAGUACGACCUGGGGCAUAAGAUUAAUGUUGGCCCCUAAAUCACAGAGUGCCUUAGCAAAGGCAACGUUUUCAAUAGUGCAUGGAAUAGUAAAGUACGAGGGUCAAACAGCUUUUCAACAAUAGGUCUAAUCACCACUGCACUACUUGUCUGAGUAAGUGUCACUGUGGCCAAGUUUUGGAAGUCCAACUUCUGGGACAUCAAGUCCUUCGUCAUUUUAGCAUAUCUAGACAUCUCUUUUAAAGCUUCAAUCAGUAGAAUAUUUACCUAGAUUUGUUUGAGCAUUUCAAAGAACUUUCUAUACUGCUCCUCCUUUUGAUGCUUGGCCAGCCUCCGUGGAAAGGGUGCAGGAGGUCUCUUCUUCCCAAUCAAUUGGGACUUCUCUUUAUCAGCUACUUUUUCAACUACUGUCUCGUCAACUGGCUUAGCUACAUUCUCGGUCUCCUGUUGAAUGUUCUUUUCUUCUUGAGUGGGCUGGACUGUCACCUCCGUCAGUAUCGUAGGCUCAUCCAGAAUUGGGACUUCUCUUUAUCAGCUACUUUUUCAACUACUGUCUCGUCAACUGGCUUAGCUACAUUCUCGGUCUCCUGUUGAAUGUUCUUUUCUUCUUGAGUGGGCUGGACUGUCACCUCCGUCAGUAUCGUAGGCUCAUCCAGCUCAAUAGGCACUGGAAUGAGUGUAUCAGCCUGUAUAUUUUCUCGAGCUCUCUCUUGCUCUACAUCUAGAUCCCUCCCAUUACGGAGACUUACCGCCAUCAGGUUCUUUGGGCCCUGAUCUUUUGGAUUUAUUUGGGUAUCUGCAGGUAAUGUCCCUUGAGGACGGUUGUAUAGAGACAUUGAAAUCUGGCCCACUUGCACUUCAAUAUUUUUGAUAGCUGCACCAUGUGCAUCUACUCUUUCAUAUUUUUUUGCAUUGGACCCAAUAACCUGCUGCAUCAUUGCUUCCAGUUUGACAAGCCUAUUUUUUUGUGUUCCACCAUGCUGCUGCUGAGGCGAGUGGUACCCUUGCUGCUGAUUGUGAUUGUUGUACCCCUGUGGCCUUGGAUAAGGUGCCAUAUUGUUGGGUAGUCUCAUACCUCCCAUGCUUCCGGUGUUGUACUGUGGCUGAAGUGGUCUGCAUUGUUGCUGAGCCUGCUAGCCCCAUUUCUUAUUGCCCUAUCUCUAACCCCAAUAGUUUGCCAUAUAGUUCAUGUCUUUAGGGUGUUGAUGGUGAUGAUCAUGUUCUGCGUUCCAAGGAUUACCAAUUGGCUGGAUAAUGCAAGAUGUGCACAAGCCCCCAUUGGUAGUAUCUACAAUAUGUACCUGCUGUUUCUACCCUGAUUUCUUCACCUUUUUGGUGAGUAUGCUCAUCUGUGUCAGGAAGGUCGCCAUAUUUUCAGCCAUGGUAUUUGAGGGAUCAAGAGGCAAUGAGUGCACCACUGGAGUAAUAGAGGAGGGUCUCCAUAUUUUCAGCCAUGGUAUUUGAGGGAUCAAGAGGCAAUGAGUGCACCACUGGAGUAAUAGGUGCAUUCCUGGAUGUCCAUCCCGAAUUCUGUGCCAUUUUAUCAAGUAGACUAUGUCCUUCUCUCUAAAUUUUGCUCAAAAAGGCCCGACCAGCUGGGGCAUACACAAUGUUCUUCAAGCCAUCUGACAGUCAAAUAUAAAAUCGUUGUCCCAACAUCUGUUCUGGAAUACCAUGAUAGGGACACAUAACCAACAUUCCUUUGAACCGGCCCCAUGUUUCAUGCAGUGUCUCCAUUGGUUUCUACUUAAAGCUCACAAUCUUAUUAAAUUUGUUGGUCAGUUUUGUUGGGUGGAUGGAACUUGUUAUAAAAUUGAUUGACUAACUCAUCCCAAGUUGCUAUAGAGUUUAUGGGGAGUGAGUUUAGCCAAAAUUGUGUAGCUCCUGUCGCCGAGAAUUGGAACAAUAACAGCCUGAUUACUUCUGGAGUUACGUUGGGCUGCCCUUGAGUCUUGCAGAUAGAAAAAAUGUUCUUCAAGUGCUGCUGAGGAUCUUCGAGCUGUGUCCCAAAAAAGAGUCCCUUGUUUUGCAACAAGUGCAGCAUGUUAUUUGUGAUCUGGAACGACUCAGCUUGUAUUACGGGCACAACUAUGGCAGUGGCCAGAUUGUCAGAUGUGGGCUAUGCCCAGUCAUACAGUGCACCAUCGGGCACAAGAGGUGCCGCUUCUCUGACAUUUAAGUCAACUUGUUCAUUCCUGACGUUUCCGUUGGGGUCGUUUACGUCUCCCAUGUCAAUUUCGAGUUUGUUUGUUUGUUGGGAUUGUUGUAGUCUUUUGGUGGCCUGGUUCAAUGCCCGAAAUAUUUUCUCGGGGUCUGAGAGUCCUUCAAGUAGUUCUCCAAUCUUCGUAGAGUUUCUAGGCAUACACCUGUGUAACCAAGUCAAGGAUUGUUGUAGUUUUUUGUUGGCCUGGUUCAAUUCCCGAAAUAUUUUCUCGGGGUCUAAGAGUCCUUCAAGUAGUUCUCCAGUCUUCGUAGAGUUUCUAGGCAAACACCUGUGCAACUAAGUCAACACCCGUCAAAAUUUUCAAUCAAAAAUUGGGUAUAGAGAAAACUGACUACACUAAGAAUUUGUGUGUUUCUUUCAACUGUAAUUGAUAAUUCCGUUAACUCUCCGGCAAUGGCGCCAAAAUUUGAUCACGCCCAACUAUGCCUUAUAAAAAGGACACUGCGUACGUUGUAAAUAUAACCUGAGUAUUAUGCCCAGAGUCGAAUCCAGAAAGAGUUAACCUAUCAAUUACUAUCUGUAGACCCACUAAACUCUUCAGAAUCAAUUUUUCAAACUUUUGAAUCACAGUUGAUGAUUUCUUCAGUAACUAAGAUUGCAAGUAAUUUAAACAGCUAUAAACUAAGGAUGCUAAGGUUGUAAACAAUGAUGAGAAAAUGCUAAGGUAAUGAUUUUCCCAAUUGAUGGAAUUCCUUCUGUUUAUGCUUCAUACAAAUUUACCAACACAUCUCUAUCGAUCAUGAACACUCUUCUUACCGUAAAUCUCUCCCGAGUAAUCACAGUUGUACGCUAAAUACACUCUCCCGAGAUACACUAGCUAGCUUUAAUUAUCACAAUUCACUUAAGAUUGCGCUCAAGGCUUCGUUAUCCCUAAUCCCACCUUUAAACCCGCUGUUAUAGAUCCCUAUUAUAUUUUGGGAGUGGUGUUAUUCAAAAAUAACAUAAAUAUGCACUCUCUCCCGAGUUAUGCACACUAAAUAGGAAUAGCUAAUUGAGGAUCCUUUCAAUCAACUACAACAUGCACAAAGUCGAACAAAUAAAUAUCGAAACUAGCAAUUUGUAUUCAUAUAAACAAGAAGUUCAUUCCCAAUAGGUUCCAUCAAUACCUUAGACAAAGAAUUUAGAUAUUCAUAACUAUGGGGAAACAAACUAGGAUAAUAUUCAUCAUAAACUUGCAGGAAAAAUCAAAGAAAAGAAGAAAGAUGUUCUGGGAGAUAUCUCACAAUUGUUUUCCUGCACUGAGCCAAGAGUCAAUUGGAAACAGCCUCUCUGCCUUUUCGGGUAGGGGUAAGGCUCGUCUACAUAUUACCCUCCCCAGACCCCACUUUGUGGGACUAUACUGGAUAGUUGUUGUUAUUGUUGUUGUUGCCAAAAUACUCUCAAAAUCAAUACAUGCCUCUCUUGGGCGAAGUCUAGUGUUUAAAAUAGGGUUUUGGGCUAAAAAUCACGUGUUUUGCCCUUUAGUCCUCUGCCGCGGUUCUGUCGCGGUCGCGGUAGAACCGUGGCCAAACAUACUAUCUGAUUCUCAAUUUGUCCGCGACCAACUUUUACUACGGUUGUGCCGCGGUCGCGGUGGAACCGCGACAGUUCUCUUUUAGGUAUGACUUGAGAUGUUUCGCGUGGUUUACUUGGCGGAAUUUUACGAUCGGUCUCUUUUUCUCCAUAUUUGAUCCCAAAAGUACUCCAUAGUCUUCUCUGGUCAUAUAUAACCUGCAAAUCAUGAAAAGCACUAAUAAGAGCAUUUUGUUAUCACUGUUAUCAUCCAAAUAUACAAGAAAAUGGUUAUUUAGGGCCCAAUUAUAAUUAAAAUCACCUAUUAUUAUACUACGUUGUGGUUAUAUGCAAAUAAAAAUACAGAUUUGCAAUGAUCAAUUUAUUAUUAUGAUAAGAUUGAAACUUGAUUUGGAAAUUUCAGUUGCUUAUUCAAAAGAUGCUUUGUCUUUAAAAUACAAUUCCAUGAUGGAUAAACAUGUCGGAUUGCUUGUUCUUCCAAGAAUAUUUGUCAUCAAGAUACAAUUCCAUGAUAUAUAUAUAUAUGGAUAAAUAAAAUUGUAAUAGUUAAAAAAAUUCUGAUGUUAAAUUUUAUGGAAUUCAAACAUAAGAGCAUGACCAAAAAAAAUUAAAUGUAAAACUUAUAUCUUUACAAAUAAAUUAAAAGGCAUCGUUUUUCUCAUACUAAUUUGUGUUUCUUUUGACCAAACAAUUGUCUCUUCUAUAGUACUGCACAUAAAAACAAAGCAACAUAUAUAUAUAUAAUCAGUAGCGACACAUGUUUAUUUACAUAUAUAAAACUUAACAUGUUUAUUUUCAUAUAUAAUUAGAAGUCACGUAAGUCUCGGAUUUAGGCGAUUCCGAAGGAGUUCUUCACGAUUUCGACUUGGUUAAGUGUUUUAUAUCCAUAAAUGAUUACAUUUCAUGAAACUAUAUCAAUUAUUCUUUUAUUUCGGAUUUGGAUGAAAGAAAUUGAAGUUUCCGUAAAACUUUUCAAAAAAUGAAAAUUUAGGAUUUGAAGGUCCAUUUGAAAUUGGGAUUCGAUAACUUUUAUAUAGUUGAACUCGUAUCGGAAUGGGUUGUCGGAUUUUAUGAGUUUCAUUGGAUUCUGAGAUGUGGUCCCCACGGGCAAUUUUGAGCUAAAUUUCGGAUUUAAUUUGGAAAAUGUGUAAAUUCAUAUGGAAUUAAUUCGUACGAUUUAUAUUGAGUAUACUGAAUUAUUAUGACUAGAUUUGAAGCUUCCGACGGAUUCGCGAUAUUUGCUACUUGUUAUGUGAUGUAUCUGACGUAUAGGCAUGGUGACGAGUAUCUAUAUGUUGGGGGUCGAGCAUGACCAUGAGUCCUAAAUUGCUACAUUCUUGUAUUCUUAUUUGAUGCUUAUGAUAACUUGGCUGAAGAUCUUUGAAGCUGAGCAAGUAAUUGUUAUAACUGAGUAAUUCUAUCAAUUAUGUUAAGUAGAAAUUUCAUAGUUUUGGUUAUUGCUGGUUCUCCCUUGCUGGGAUAGUUUAUUAUAGCAUCUUUCUCCUUUGCCGGUAGUAUAUUGUUUGAUUAUUUGUUAUUGGUUUUCUUUACAGGUAAUAUAUUAUUUAGUUAUUUGUUAUUGGUUUUCUUUACCGGUAAUAUAUUGUUUGAUUAUUUGUUAUUGGCUUUUUUGCCGGUAAUAUAUUGUACAAUUAUUUGUUAUUGAUUUUCUUUGCCGGUAAUAUAUUGUUUGAUUAUUUGUUAUUGGUUUCUUUGUCGGUAAUAUAUUAUUUGAUUAUUUGUUAUUGAUUUUUUUUGCUAGUAAUAUAUUAUUUGAAUAUUUGUUAUUGGUUUCUUUGCCGGUAAUAUAUUUUUUGAUUAUUGGUCAUUGGUUUUCCUUGCCGGUAAUAUAUUGUUUGAUUUCUUAUUAUUAGUUUCUUUGACGGUAAUAAAUUGUACAUUGAGUUAAAAAUAAAAUUGGAGCGGGUGGUACGCCUACCACAAGAUAUGUAUUGAAAUGGGAGCGAGUGGUACGCCUACCACAAAUUAUAUUGAAAUGGGAGCGAGUGGUACCCUACCACAAGAUAUAAUAAAAUGGGAACGGGUGGUACGCCUACCGCAAGAUAUAAUAAAAUGAGAGCGGGUGUUACACCUACCAUAAGAUAUAUUGAAAUGGUAGCGGAUGGUACGCUUACCACAAGAUAAAAAGAAAUAGGAGAGGGUCAUACGUCUACCACGAGAUACAUGAAAUGGGAGCGGGUGGCAUGCCUGCCACGAGAUACAGAAAAUAGGAUUGGGUUACACGCCUGCAACAAAAUGUGAAAAGAUAGUGAAAUAUACAUUUGUUUUCCUUAUUCUUGUUAGUGGUUCGACUUUGAUUCCCUUAUAAUUUUCUUGAUAUUAUUUUUAUAUAUAUAUAUACCACGAGAUACAGAAAAUAGGAUCGGGUUGCACGCCUGCAACAAGAUGUGAAAAGAUAGUGAAAUAUACCUUUUUUUUUCCUUAUUCUUGUUAGUGGUUCGACUUUGAUUCCUUUAUAGUUCUCUUGAUAUUAUAUAUAUAUAUAUGAUCAAUACUCCAAAUUUCAACAAUUGUUACAUUUUUUACUCAAUUGAUUUCUCAAUUAAAUUUUCCUUAAACCGUUGAGGUUGUACUUUACUUAAAAAGGAAUCUCUAUUAUGUUUAAAUUAUUUAUUUCUCAUAUUAAAUGUAAUGAUUUAUUCGAUAUUGUACUUCAAUUGAAAAGGGUAUUUUCUAAAUAAAAUGAUUUCUAAAAAUAACAUCAUCUUUUCUUGUUGAUUUCUAUUUGGGUUGGUAGAUGUACUCUACUUUAUGUUAAGUGAAUCGGUCUUCUUGAACAUUCUUCAUUAUAUUGGGUUAUGGAACCUGUGAACUGAAUAAUAUGCUGAUAUUUUUGUGCAAUAUGAGACAGAAAUAUGUGGGCACAAGGUGCCGUGAUAAUAUGAAAGUGUGAUGACCUGGCCCGUCGUCUCAUGAGUUACUACCCCGUUCUUCCCAUUUUCUAUUUCCUUAUGUUUCAUUAUCGGUAUUUGGUGCGUUAGAAUUUAAUUGGAGUAAUUUUAUUAAGAAAUGAGAUACUUAGUCUCUUUUAAGAAGGCUUAAGUUGGAAAAAUCAACCGAGUGUUGACUUAUGAGUUAGGGGGGGAGUGAUUUUUGUAAGGAAUGAGAUACUUAGUCUCUUUUAAGAAGGUUUAAGUUGGAAAAGUAAACCGAGCAGUGACUUAUGAGUUAGAUGUUAUGGUCCCAGUUAUUCCAGAAGAUGAGCAGCGUUGUCUUGAGAGGUUCAACAGACUUUCACCUCCGACUUUCAGUGUUAUUCAGGAAGAAGAUGCCCAGGGUUUUCUUGACAAGUGUCAACGUAUGUUGCGGACAGCAGGGAUAUUGGAGACUAGCGGUGUAUCAUUUACUACUUUCCAAUUCUCAGGAGCAGCCUUCACUUGGUGGGAGGCAUAUGAGCGGCGUAGGCCGGUAGGUGCAACGCCUUUGUCAUUGUAGGAGUUCUCCACUCUCUUUCAGGAGAAGUGGGUACCGCUGUCACAGAGAGAGGAGAUGCGUAGGUAGUUUGAGUGGAUCCGUUAGGGAGAUAUGACUGUGUCUCAGUAUGAGGUGAGGUUCUCAGAGCUGGCUCGUUAUGAUCCAUGGAUGGUCCGAAUCGAUCGAGAGAGGAUUAGGAGGUUUGUGGACGGACUUCUCAGAGUUGGCUCAUCCCAAGUACCGCGGGACAUCUUCAGGCAGUGGUCAUCAGGGGUUCCAGCAGGGCCAGCCAUCACUCAGCACGCUUCCAGCUUAGAGUUAUUCACGUGCCCUAUCUUUUGAGGGUUCUUCCACACCGAGUGCACUAGCUAGUCACUCCGGUACGAGGGGUUCUUUUCAGUCUCAUCCUCAAGCACCUGGGGGCUGUUAUGAGUUCGGGGUGUUAGGACAUAUGUGGAAGUAGUGUCCUCGCCGUACUGCCAAUUCAUCAUAGCAAAGUGGUCAGCCCUCGUCUUCUGCACUAGUUUCUUCAGCACCCACCCAGUCACCUAGAGGUGAGGGUCAGGCAGCUAAGGGUCUCCCCAGAGGGGGAGGUCGAUCAGGCGGUGGUCAGGAUCUAUUUUAUGCUAUCCCAGACAGGAUAGAUGCUCUUGCUUCAUAUGUUGUUAUCACAUGUAUUAUCUCAGUCUGCCACACAGAUGUCUCUGCCUUAUUUUAUCCUAGAUCCACCUAUUCUUAUGUUUCUUCAUAUUUUGCUCAUCAUUUGGGUACGACCCGAGGGUGUCUUUAUUUGCCUAUGCAUGUAUCUAACCCGGUGUGCGAUACUAUUAUUGUAGACCAUGUAUAUCGGCCUUGUAUUGUGACUAUUGGGGGUCUGGAGACCCGAGUUGAUUUAUUGACGCUAAGCAUGGUGGGCUUUGAUGUUAUUUUGGGCAUGGAUUUGCUAUCUCUGUGUCAUGUUAUUCUCUAAUGUCAUGCUAAGGCAGUUACUUUGGCUAUUUCGGGUGUUUCGAGGAUCAAGUGGUGUGGUAUGAUUGAUUAUGUCCCUAGCAGAGUAAUUUGUUUCUUGAAAGCCCAGCGUAUGGUUGUCUAUCAUAUCUAGCAUUUGUGCGAGAUAAUGGAGCUGAGACUCCUAGUAUUGAUUAUGUCCGAGUUGUGAGGGAGUUUCCUGAUGUAUUUCCUGCAGACCUACCGGGCAUGCUGCCUGAUAGGGAUAUUGAUAUUGGCAUUGACUUGGUGUCGUUCACCCAGUCCAUUUCUAUUUCGCCAUAUCGUAUGGCACCAGUAAAGUUGAAAUAAUUGAAGAAACAGCUUCAAGAACUCCUAAAUAAGGUGUUCAUCGGCAUAGUGUAUCCAUUGGGGUGUGCCAGUUCUAUAUGUGAAAAAUAAAGAUGGCACGAUGAGAAUGUGCAUUGACUGCAGGUAGUUAAAUAAGGUAACAAUGAAGAACAAGUAUCAUUUGCCUCGCAUUGAUGACUUAUUUGAUCAGCGUCAGGGAGCGAGGGUAUUUUCUAAGAUCGAUCUCCGUUCGAGCUAUCACCAGUUGAAGAUCAGGGAGUCGGAUAUUCCCAAGACUACUUUUAGGACUAGAUAUGGUCACUAUGAAUUUUUGGUUAUGUCCUUCGGGCUAACCAAUGCCCCAGCAGCAUUCAUGCAUUUGAUGAACAGUGUAUUUCAGUCGUAUCUGGAUUCAUUUGUUAUUGUAUUCGCUGAUGAUAUUCUGGUGUACUCGUGUAUCCAGGAGGAGCAAGCUCAUCAUUUGCGUGUAGUGUUGCAGAGAUGUUCAUGCAUUUGAUGAACAGUGUAUUUCAGCCGUAUCUGGAUCCAUUUGUUAUUGUAUUCACUGAUGAUAUUCUGGUGUACUCGUGUCGCCAGGAGGAGCAAGCUCAUCAUUUGCGUGUAGUGUUGCAGAGAUUGAGAAAGGAGAAGUUUUAUGCAAAAUUCUCCAAGUAUGAGUUUUAGCUAAGUUCUAUAGCAUUCUUGGGACACAUAGUGUCCAGAGAGGGUAUUCAGGUUGAUCCAAAAAAGAUAGAAGUGAUACAGAUUUGGUCUAGACCGUUCUCAUCCAUAAAGAUCUGGAGUUUUCUUUGGUUACCAUGCUAUAAUUGCCGGUUUUUUAGGGGUUUUCAUCCAUUGCAUCACCCUUGACCUAGUUGACACAGAAGGAUACUCUAUUUGUAUAGUCGGACGAGUGUGAGAAGAUCUUUCAAAAGCUCAAGACAAUUUUGACCACAGCUCUAGUGUUGGUUUUACCAUCAGCUACAGGUUCGUACAUGAUAUAUUAUGAUGCUUCGAGAGUUGGGAUUGGUUGUGUGCUAAUAUAGGAGGUUAGAGUUAUUGCAUAUGCUUCUCGUCAGCUGAAGCCCCACGAGAAGAACUACCAUGUUCAUGACUUGGAAUUGGCUGCUAUAGUUCAUGCUUUGAAGAUUUGGAGGCACUAUUUAUAUGGUGUAUCUUGAGAGGUAUUCACAAAUCAUCGCACCCUUCAGAAUUUAUUUAAACAGAAAAACCUUAAUUUGAGGCAACGGAGAUGGCUUGAAUUGCUAAAAGAUUAUGAUAUUACUAUUCAGUAUCAUCUGAUCAUCGCAACCUUCAGAAUAUUUUUAAAUAGAAAAACCUUAAUUUGAGGCAGUGGAGAUGGCUUGAAUUGCUAAAAGAUUAUGAUAUUACUAUUCAGUAUCAUCCGGGAAAGGCCAACGUAGUGGCCGAUGCUUUGAGCCGAAAGACAGUCAGUAUGGGGAGUUUGGUGUACCGUCCAGUUAGGGAUAGGCCCUUUGAAGUUGAUGUUCAAGCCUUGGCUAAUCGGUUUGUGAGGUUAGACAUUUCUGAGCCCAAUCGGGUUUUGGCUUGUGUGGUUUCUCGGUCUUCCUUAUAUGAUCACAUCAGAGAGCGCCAGUAUGAUGAUCCGUAUUUACUUUUCCUUAGGGACAGAGUUCGGCAUAAUGAUGCCAAAUAUGUUACUUUAGAUGAUGAUGGUGUAUUGAGGAUGCAAGGCCUUAUUUGUGUGCCCAAUGUAGAUGGGCUUAGAGAAUUGAUCCUGGAGGAGGCCAUAGCUUGCGGUAUUCUAUUCAUCCGGGUACCGCGAAGAUGUACCAGGAUUUGAGGCAACAUUAUUGGUGGAGAAGAAUGAAGAAAGAUGUUGUAGGUUAUGUAGCUCGGCGUCUCAAUUGUCAGCAGGUGAAACAUGAGCAUCAGAGACCGGGUGGUUUGCUUCAGCGGAUGAUUAUUCUAGAGUUAAAGUGGGAGAGGGUUACUACGGAUUUUGUGAGUGGUCUUCCUCGGACUUCGAAGAAAUUUGAUUAUAUUCGAUUGAUUGUGGAUCGGCUGACCAAGUCCACGCACUUCAUUCCGGUGUCCACCACUUAUUCUUCCGACCGACUGGUAGGGAUGUUUAUCCAGUAGGUUUUUCGGUUGCAUGGUGUUCCGGUGUCUACUAUAUCAUAUAGAGGUACUCAGUUAACUUCCCACUUUCGGAGGACUUUUCAUCAAGAGUUGGUUACGCAGGUGGAGUUGAGCACGACAUUUCAUCCUCAGACGGACGGACAGUCCGAGCGUACUAUUCAGAUAUUGGAGGACGUGUUGCAUGCCUGUGUUAUUGAUUUCGGAGGUUCUUAGGCUGAGUUCUUUCCGCUUGCAGAGUUUGCCUACAAUAACUGUUACCAAUCUAACAUUCAGAUGGCACUGUAUGAGGACUUGUAUGGGAGGCGGUGUAGAUCUCCAAUUGGUUGGUUUGAGCUCGGCGAGGAUAGAUUAUUGGGGACAGAGUUAGUUCAGGAUGCCUUGGAAAAAUGAAAGUAAUUCAGGAGAGACUUUGUACAGCACAACAUCAAAAGAAUUAUGCGGACCAGAAGGUCCGAGAUGUAUCUUACAUGGUGGGUGAGAAUGUUUUGCUGAAGGUUUCGCCCAUGAAGGAUUUUAUGAGAUUUGGAAGAAAGGAUUUCUAAGCCCGGAAUUUAUUGGACCUUUAGAAAUACUUAGGAGUAUUGGAGAGGUGUCAUAUAAGCUUGCGUUGCCACCUAGUUUGUCGGGUGUUCAUCCGGUAUUCCAUGUUUCUGUGCUCUGGAAGUAUGUUAGGGAACCGUCUCAUGUUUUGGGUUUCAGCACAGUACAGUUAUAUGAAGAUUUGACUUAUGAUAUGGAGCCAAGUGGCUAUUUUGUGUCGACAUGUUCGAAAAUGGAGAUCAAAAGAUAUAGCGUCAGUGAAAGCACAGUGGAGAGGUUGGCCUGUGGAGGAGGCUACUUGGGAGACCGGGAAGGAGAUGCGGAGCAGAUACCCUCACCUAUUUGAGAUUUCAGGUAUGUUUCUUAACUCACUCAAGGAUGAGCGUUUAUUUUAGUUGGGGAGGAUGUGAUGACCUGACCCAUCAUCUCAUGAGUUACUACCCUGUUCUUCCGAUUUUCUGCUUCCUUAUGUUUCAUUAUCGGUAUUGGGUGCGUUAGAAUUGAAUUGGAGUGAUUUUUUAUAAGGAAUGAGACACUUAGUAUCUUUUAAGAAGGUUUAAGUUGGAAAAGUCAACCGAGCAUUGACUUAUGAGAUAGAGGGAUUAGAUAUGAAUUUCGAUGAUUCGGUUAGCUACGAGAGAUGAUUUGUGACUUAGGUGCAUGAUCAGAAGUAGCUUUGGAGGUACGGUGUAGAUUUAGGCUUGAAUUGGCGAAGUUAGUAUCUUAACGAUUUCCUAUCGAUAGGUGAAAUUUUGAUCCGUGAGUCAAAAUGGAAUUUCUAGAGUUGAUGUAGCUUAAUUAGGUGAAUUGGGAUAUGUGUGCAAAAUUUCAGGUCAUUCGGACGUGUUUUGGAUAGGUUUUUGAUCGAAUGUGUGUUUUGAAAGUUUUAGAAGAACUUAGUCUUGAAUUCAAUGUAAUUUGAUGGUUUUGGUGUUGUUUGAAUUGUUUUGAUAAUUGGAGCAAGUUUGGAUGAUGUUUUAAGAUAUGUUGGUACUUUUGGUUGAGGUCCCGGGGGCCUCGGGGUGACUAACGGGAAUUUUGGAGUUGAAAAAUGCAGCAGAAAAAUUGCAGAGAAUUUUUGUUCUAUGUGAUCGCAGAGGGAUAAAAAAAACUGAAUAAUUUAAAAGAAUACACAAGAUAAUCUCACUAGGACCCGAUGUUACGAAUCUGCGCCUCUACAAUACAGAAUUUCAUCCUAAUACAUAGUAUAUCUAAAGUCUGAUAAUGCAGAAAUAAAAGGAUAGGAUAGAAGAGAGAAGAUCAAUGGUUGCAAGCACCGUGCAGCUACCUCGAUACUCCCAAUAAGCUCAAUCUGCUGAACUGUUGGAUCUACUCAGCCUGAUGCUGCCAUGGAUAUGCACACAAGGUGCAAGGAGUAAAGUGUAUAUUCCAACCCAAUGAGUAAUAAAAGCAAAUAAAAGUCCGAAGGUAAGAAAAUACAGUAAAUACACAAAGUAAGCUAAAGUCCAGAAAUACAGUAAUAUGUGACUCUUAGCAGCUGAACAAUGAAUGAAGAUGCAAAUGCAGAGAUGCAAUGCAAUGUAUAUGAUGGUACAUUCCAGUACUCACUGCGGCGUGCAACCCGAUCCAUUUAUUUAUCGUCGACGCUGCUCGCUGGGGGUAUGUAUAGACUCCAAAGGGGAUCCUAUAGCCCAAGCGCAAUAUCAAUAUAAUACUGCUGCGGUGCGCAGCCCGAUCCAUAUACUACUGCGGCGCGCAGCCCGAUCUAUGCUCAUAUCAAUGAAAUACUGCUGCGGUGCGCAGCCCGAUCCAUGCUCAGUCCAAAUAUCACUUGAGUUUUCAAAACUUAGAAAUAUGGCUGAAUUUGCAAAUACAGUAUUUAAAACCUUAGUCUGAGACCAUAUUAUAUGCAAAUCAUGCUAACACAGUAAUAUCAAUCCCGAAGGAUUCUUCAAGUCGUCACAAGGCCCCAAACAUGGAAACAAGCCCAAUUAACAUCAAUAAAGUGUGCAUAUCCCUCGCUAGCAUAGUAUAAAUCUCACUAGGGAUGGACCAAGUCAUGAUCCCAAAUACUAACCGACCUCGCAUUCGUCAUGGAGUGCGUGUCACGCCUCAAUAUAGUGUUAUAAUGUGAAAGUCCGGGGUUUCAAACCCUCAUAACAGCAUUUACAAGCAUUACUCACCUUUAUCCGGCCAAAGACUAGCCUGCGAUGCCAUUUCCUCUCAAAUAGACCUCCUCGCACGUCGAAUCUGGCCAAUGCCAUAAUGAAUACAUCACAAUAUGCUAAGGAAAUAUAACCCAAUCGAAAAAAUUUGAAAAAUAUUGAAAAUCGCGAAAUUAGCAAAACCCGAGCCCCGGGCUCACUUCUCGAAAUCCAAAAAAAUUUACACCAAAACGAUCCUCAUCUCGCCUCGAGUCUAUAAAUAUCAAAUUCACAUGAAUCGGUGUCCAUUUGUCCCCUCAAAUCAUCAAUUUAAGCCCUCUUAAGUUCAAUCCCUAACCUCCAUUUUUAACAUUUAUCCCUUGAAUUUCAGUAUUUAAUCCAUGAUUUUACAUAGUUCAUGCUUUGAAGAUUUGGAGGCACUAUUUAUAUGGCCUCAAAUCAUCAAUUUAAGCCCUCUUAAGUUUCAAUCCCUAACCUCCAUUUUUAACAUUUAUCCCUUGAAUUUCAGUAUUUAAUCCAUGAUUUUACACUAUAUAAACAUAAUCCGAGUCCAAUAGUUCAUACCUGAUGAAACCCCAUCGAAUUCUCUUCAAAAUUGCCCAAAGAAACUCCUAAGCCAAAGUCCAAAAUAAUUUUCCUUCUCUUUCAAAUUUUAUGAAACACUAUUCAUUAAACCCAGGUCGAUUUCCGCUUAUGCGGUCAAAUAAUCGCACAUGCGGUCACCGUUUAUGCGACCAAAUGAUCGUUUCUUCGAUCUCACUUAAACUCCCCUGGACCGCUUAUGCGCUCUAGAACCGCUUCUGCGAUCGCCGCAUUUGCUGAUCCACGAUCGCUUCUACGGAAAGGGAUCCCAAACCCAAAUCCUCUUUUGCGACCCAAACGCCGCAUCUGCGGAACUUUUUAUGCGGUCCCUUUUGCGCAGAUACGGAAACAACAGAACCAGCAAACUUCAACAUGAAACAAACUCUACAUUCUCCGUUUAACCACCCGAAUUCAUCCCGAGACCCCCGGGACCUCAACCAAAAGCACAGAAAUAACCUUUUACCUCAUUCAAACUUGCUCGAAUCAUAAAAACACUAACAUUAAUACUAAAAUCACCGAAUUUCCUCAAAUCAAAGCCUAAGUUAAACCAAAACUUUCAAAACUCACAUUCGAUUCCAAACCUGACCUAAACACCUCCGAAUCAACUAAAACUUUUCACACACAUCCAAAAUCACCUAACGAAGCUACUGCAACUCUUGGAAUUCCAUUCCGACCCUUGGAUAAAAAUCUCGCAUACCAACCGGAUUUCGCCAGAAUCCUAACUUCGCCAAAAUAGGCUAAAUUCUACACCGAGCCUCCAAAUUCAAUUCUGAUUGCUCUCCUAAGCAUUAAAUCAUCCCCGACACUAAUCAAACCAUCAGAAGUCAUUUUGAGCCCUCUAACUCACAAGUCAACUUCCGAUUGACUUUUGUAAACCAAAACCUUCCAUAAAGAGACUAUUUGUCUUAGUUCGUACCAAACUCUAUUCGAAUCACUUCAAAUUCACCACACAUAUAUAAUGACACACAAAGAAGCAUAGAACGGGGAAAACAGGAUGGAAACACAUGAGACGAUGGGUCGGGUCGUCACAAUAUUUGAUCUACCCUAGCUUGAGGGAAUAGGAGUUGAGUAUAUUUGUUACUUGUUAUGUGAUGUAUCCGACAUAUAGGCAUUGUGACGAGUAUGUAUAUGUUGGUGUUCGAGCACGAUCGUAAGUCCUAAAUUGCUAAAUUGUUGUAUUCUUAUUUGAUGCUUAUGAGAACUUGGUUGAAGAUCUUUGAAGCUGAGCAAGUAAUUGUUAUGACUGAGUAAUUGUAUCAAUUGUGUUAAGUAAAAAUUUAAUAAGUUUGGCUAUAGAUGGUUCUCCUUUGUCAGGAUAGUUUAUUAUAGCAUCUUUCUCCUUUACCAGUAAUAUAUUAUUUGAUUAUUUGUUAUUGAUUUUCUUUGCAGGUAAUAUAUUGUUUGAUUAUUUUUAUUGGUUUUCUUUACCGGUAAUAUAUUGUAUGAUUAUUUGUUAUUGGCUUCUUUGCCGAUAAUAUAUUUUUUGAUUAUUUGUUAUUGGUUUCUUUGCCGGUAAUAUAAUUUUUGAUUAUUUGUUAUUGAUUUUUUUUGUCGAUAAUAUAUUAUUUGAUUAUUUGUUAUUGGUUUCUUUGCCGGUAUUAUAUUGUUUGAUUAUCGGUCAUUGGUUAUCUUUGUCGGUAAUAUAUUGUUUGAUUAUUUGUUAUUGGUUUCUUUGUCGGUAAUAAAUUAUACAUUGAGUUAAAAAUGAAAUGGGAGCGGGUGGUACGCCUACCACAAGAUAUGUAUUAAAAUGGGAGCGAGUGGUACGCUUACUAAAAAUUAUAUUGAAAUGGGAGUGAAUGGUACGCCUACCACAAGAUAUAAUAAAAUGGAAGAAUGUGGUAUGCCUACCACAAGAUAUAAUGAAAUGGGAGUGGGUGGCACGCCUUCCACGAGAUACAGGAAAUGGGAUCGGGUUGCUUGCCUGCAACAAGAUGUGAGAAGAAAGUGAAAUAUACCUUUAUUUUCCUUAUUCUUGUUAGUGAUUCGACUUUGAUUCCUUUAUAAUUCUCUUUAUAUUAUAUUAUAUUUUAUAUCGAGUCUAAGGGUUGUCAGGAGAUUGGUGGAAUAGUUCAGGGAUAAGAAAAUGGGCCUGCACGUGGUGCUUAUCUAUUUGAAAAGGCAUAUGACAAGGUCCCAAGGGAGGUGCUUUGGAGGUGCCUGGAGGCGAAGAGCGUGCCGGGAGCCUACAUCAUAGUAAUCAAGGACAUGUACAAUGGAUCUAAGACUAGGGUUAGUAUGGUGGGUGGUGAGUCAAACCAUUUCCCGGUGGUUAUGGGGCUCCAUCAAUGAUCGGCGCUUAGCCCUCUCUUGUUUACAUUGGUGAUGGAUGCUCUAACCCGGCAUAUUCAAGGGGAUGUGCCUUGGUGUAUGCUAUUUGCUGAUGACAUAGUAUUGAUAGACGAGAUGAGGGUCAGUAUGAAUGAGAGGCUAGAGGCAUGGAGACAGACUCUCGAGUCUAAGGGUUUCAAAAUAAGCAGAUGUAAGACUUAAUACAUGGAGUGCAAGUUUGGAGCCGAGCUGAGCGAAGUAGGCAAGGACAUGAAGAUUGGAUCUGAGAUCAUCGCCAAGAGGGACAGUUUCAGAUAUCUUGAGUCGGUGAUCCAGGGGGACAAAGAGAUUGACGGGGAUGUCACUCAUCGUAUAUGAGCGGGGUGGUCGAAAUGGAGGCUUGUACCAGGAUUCAUGUGUGAUAAGAAAGUGCCACAGAAACUCAAGGGGAAAUUGUAUAGAGCUGUGGUUAGACCUUCCAUGUUGUAUGGGGCGUAGUGCUGGCCGGUGAAGAACUCUCAUGUUCAAAGAAUGAAAGUUUCGGAGAUAAGGAUGCUCAGGUGGAUGUGUGUGCUCACCAGGUUAGAUAAGAUUAAGAAUGAAGUCGAGAGAAGGUGGGAGUGGCCCGGUGGAUGAGAAGAUGCGUCAAGCGAAGCUCAGGUGGUUCGGGCAUGUGCGGAGGAGAAGCCCCGAUUCCCCGGUGAGGAGUUGUGAGCGAAUGGCGGUGGUCGGCGUGAGGCGAGGCAGAGGGAGGCCUAUGAUGUAUUGGGGAUAGGUGAUUAGGCAUGACAUGGCGAGAAUGCAGAUUUCCGAGGACAUGGCCCUUGAUAGAAAAUUCUGGAGGUCUAUUAUCAGGAUUGUAGGAUAGGGGCUCCUAGAAUUUUACGUACUCCUUUCCCGGGGUUGGCUGAGGCUUGAUAGGGCUAUCCAUAGAUGAUUUGUGCAUUGGAUAUUGUCCCUCUUAUGGUAAUUCUUUAUGAUAGUUACUGUUUGAUAUUAUUGCAUGCCAUUUUAUUUAUGGUUCUUAUGUUUAAGUAACUAUUUACGCGAUUUCUGCUGGAGUUACUUAUGCUCUUUUUUUGUUUAUUUUUAUUUUCCAUUCCUUUCCUGAGUCGUGGGUCGAUUGGAAACAGCCUCUCUGCCCUUUAGGGGAGGGGUAAGGUCUGUCUACAUAUUAUACUCCCCAGAUCCCACAUUGUGGGACUAUAAUGGGUAGUUGUUGUUGUUGUUUGUAUAGUUAAUUAAACUCUAAGACUAUUCUCUCUCUCUUUUGUUCUUUAAUUUUGGGUCAGAUAAAAGUGGUACAUAGUGAUUACUUAAACCAUAAGAAUAUUUUCUCAUUUUCUGCCUUUAUUAUAGGGACACAUAAAUAUUACAUGUAUUUAUGGGUCAUCUAAGAAUUUAUGAAUUCUUAUGGAGGACAAACGUAGAGAAUCAGUUUAGCAAAUUCAUAAGAAGAUGAUGGAGAUCCUAUGAUGAAGUAUAGAAUAGUUUUAUUUUUUUCUCAACCAGGCUAUAUAAAUAUAGUCGUAGCUAUGAUGAAGUAUAGAAUAUUUUUAUUUUUUUCUCAACCAGGCUAUAUAAAUAUAGUCGUGGCUAGAUAGGCACAUAUCUUCAUUAUGUUAAGUUGUAGUCGGUUCUUUCAUAUUUUUUGGUAUUCGCUACUAUUUAGAUUUGGACAAAUAAAAAGAUCAAUAUGCUUAUUAAUAGAAACUUUGCUAAGAAAGUCACUUAUUUUUUUUGUGGGGGGUUUUUUUCACCUUAUUUAUACAUUAUCUUAUUUUAUUUGCUCAAAAAGUCUCUUUAACAGUCUUUUUAUUGGAUAUUUUGAUCUCUAUUUAUGUCCUCUUUCAAACUUUUCCUCUGUUAUUUAUGUCUGUAACUUUCAAAUAUUGUUUUAUGUGUAACUUUUUGACACCCUUUUUUCCCCAUAUACUGUCACGACCCGAAAGUUUCCACCAUCGGGAGUCGUGAUGGCGCCUAUUAGUGGGAGCUAGGAAAGCCAACUCUUACUUAUCUUUCUAUUUUUAACAAAUCUUAUUUUAAACAUUAUUAAAAAAUAACACGAAUAUAGCGGAAUAAUUAAAUUUAGCGGAAGACUUAAGUAAAUAUUACCGGAUGCGAUAUAAAAAUCCAAACAUAAACUUCUACCCAAGACUGGUGUCACAAUACUCACGAACUUCUAAUACUAAACGCAACCGUUUGAAAGAAAUAUAAAACUGUUUGUCUCGAAUACAUGAGAUAACAGACUGAAUAUAAAGAUAGAGGAGACGUCGGGUCCUGCUGACGUCUGCAAGACUACCUCGGUGUCUCGCUGAGUAGAACGCUAACACUCGCACUACUGUUGUUGCUGCUGUCUGAAACCUGUAUCUGCACAAAAAGAGUGCAGAGUGUAGAAUCAGCACAACCGACCCCAUGUGAUGGUAAGUGUCCGGCCUAUCCCGGCGAAGUAGUGACAAGGCUAGAACCAAACACUCACAUAAACAUGUACAGUUCAAAAAAUAUAUAUAUACAACAAAUAUAACAGGAAGCAACAUUUAAUAUUUAGGAAGGAAAACAUGCGCUGGGGUAGCAACAAAAUAUAAUAGCAGAAAUAGAAUAAAAGAAUUCAAUUCACUUUUAAGUUUAAUUCAUCUUGUUGCAGGCGUGCAACCCAAUCUCAUUUCAUUUCAUAUCUUGUGGUAGGCGUACCACCCACUCCCAUUUCAAUUAAUAUCUUAUGGUAGGCGUACUACCCGUUCCCAUUUCAUUUAAUAUCUUGUGGUAGGCAUACUACUCACUUCCAUUUCAAUAUCAUUUGUGGUAGGCGUACCACUCCAUCUCAUUUCAAUAUCAUUUGUGGUAGGCAAUAGGCGUACCACUCGCUUCCAUAUCAAUAUCAUUUGUGGUAGGCGUACCACUCCAUCUCAUUUCAAUAUCAUUUGUCGUAGGCGUAUCACUCGCUCCUAUUUCAAUAUCAUUUGUGGUAGGCGUACCACUCGCUCACAUUUCAUCUUUAACAUUGUGCACAUUAUGUCACCGGCAACAAAGGCCAAUAACAAAUUAUCAAUAUAAGUUGUGGUAGGCGUACCACUCGCUCCCAUUUCAAUAUAGUUUGUGGUAAGCGUACCACUCGCUCCCAUUUCAAUACAUAUCUUGUGGUAGGCAUACCACCCGCUCCCAUUUCACUUUUAACAUAGUUCACAAUGUAUAUAUUAUUGGCAAGAGAAAAUAAUAACUCGGUGCCAAGGCUCGACAAAUAAUUCUUUCAUGGAAUGUGAAAUUAUCAAUUUAUGACUCACGAUCAUACUCGACCCCCAAUGUAUAGUUCUCGUCACCAUGCCUAUACGUUGGACUCAAUACAUAACAAGUAUCAAAUAUACUCAACUCCUAUUACCUCAAGCUAGGAUAGAUCAAACACUUACCUCGACGGUUUAAGGCCAAGUCAAUCCUUAAGAUAUGUCUUUCCUUUUAAAUUUGGCUCCAAUUCAAUCGUAUCUAUACACAAUGAUUUAAUAUCAUCAAUAAUAUUUAACAAACUAAUCCAAAUGGCUAAAUAUAUUUUCUAAAACAUUCUGCCCAAAAAUCAAAAAAUCGAUCUUGGGCCCACGUGGUCAAAACACGAUGUUCGAACUAAUUUCCGAUAACUCAUUUGCUCACGAGCCCGAAUAUAUAAUUUGUUCUCAAGUUCGACUCCAAAACGAGGUCUAAAUCAUCAAAUCAUUAAAAACCCGAACUCUACCCAAUUCUGUAAUUUUCUACCUAUUUUCACAUGUUUAGGCCUAAGAAUUUGAUUGAUGUUGAUGAAAAAUAAAGAAAAUGAGUUUAAACAAUACUUACCAAUAACUUUGGUGAAGAAAUGCUCCAAAGAUCGCCCAAGAGCUGUUGGAGAAGAGAGAGUUUGAGAAAUGGGGAAGAAAUCCUGUAAGUGUUCUGUUUCUGGGUCUUUAAAAUCAUUGGGCGAAUUUUGUUCUACACGUUCGCGACACCGGGGUCACGUUCUCGUUGAAGGAAAAUGGGCGGGUAUCGCGUUCACAAAGCUAUAUCGCAAACGCGAAGAAGAAAUUCUGGGGGCUUCGCGUCUGGCACCACGCGAACGCGAAGAAGAAGCAGACCGGGCUCCGCGAACGUGGGAGCCUUCAUGCGAACGCGUAGAAGGAUGGGCUGGGUCUGGGAUUCUGUAGUACGCGAACGUAAGGAGUGACUCGCGAACGUGUAGAAGGGGGGAAGAAAUCUUCGCGAACACGACUAGAGGGACGCGAAUGCGAAGAAGGAAUGCCUGCUGUAGAAUUUCUACAAUUUUCCAAGUCCAAAACCACCGCGAUACCUAUCUGAAACUCACCCGAACCCUCGGGGCUCCAAGCCAAAUAUGCACACUGAUUCAAAAAUAUCAUACGAACUUUCUCGAGCGAUCAAAUCACCAAAAUAACAUCAAAAUCACUUAAUUGAGCCAUAAAAUCCAAGAAAUCUUUCCAAUUUCAUAAACUUCUAAAUUUUUCAAUUUAAGGCCGAAACACAUCAAACAGCGUCCGUUUUCAACCAAACUUUACAAGAAGCGCUUAAACCACAUAUAUGACCUGUACCAGGCGUCGGAACCAAAAUACGAGACCGAUACCAUUACUUUUUAAUCAAAUUUUAUUUUUAUUUUCCUUAAACAUUUUCAGAAAACAAUUUCAUGAAAAAAUUCAUUUCUCGGGCCUGAGACCUCGAAAUUCGAUUACGGGCAUGCGCCGAAGCCCACAUUUUCUACUGACAUUCUGAGACCGUCAAAUCACGGGUUCGGGUCCGUUUACCUAAAAUGUUGACUAAAGUCAACUUUAAUCAUAUUAAUAUCAAAAUUCUUCAAAUUUUUCACAUAAUUCAUAUAUUUCAGCAUAAAAACUUUCCGGCUACGCGCCCGGACUACGUGCGCAAAUUGAGGCAACUAAAAGUAAGGUUUUCAAGGCCUCAGAAGUACGGAAAAAGGAAGAACUCCGGUGAUGAUCCUUUGGAUCGUCACAUAUACACGCCUAUUUAAAUUCAUUAGCUAUGACCGCCAGACAUACAUUCAUAAAUUAGUUGUAUUAUAAAUUCAAAAAAUUGGCUUGCAUAUCAGCUUUGGACUCUUUCCUUCCAUGUUCAACUUCUUUUCUAACAUGUAAUUACACUAUAACAAACAAACAGGUCGUCGUAAUCACACAACUGUGUAAUUACUAUCCUAGUAAUUACACCAAUUUCGAUUACAGGGUGGCUUUCCUAUGACAAACAAACAGGUCGUCGUAAUUACACAACUGUAUAAUUACUAUCCUAGUAAUUACAUCAAUUUUAAUUACAGGGUGGCUUUCUAAACAGACUCUUAAGUGUGUGUAAGAACAAAUAUUUUAUAAUCCGAGUACUCAAAAGUUUCAAUUUUAAUGAACUCCUAGACUCUACUCAAAAAUUUAUUAUACUUCAUAUGUUAAUUGGUUUGGUGGCACUCCCAAACUCUUUCAUGAUUUUCUUCUCCCUUAGUUAAAAUAAUACUCUUUGUAUAUUGUAAAUAGUUAAUGAUCAUCUCAAUUAAAAUUUUUAAAACUUCAAAAAAAAAAAUUAUAUGCUACUUUUUAUGAGCCCAUAAUUAAAUUUUUAUAUACCUUACUAUAAAUUAUAACUUAAAUUUAUUAAAACUAUAACUAGAACGGUCCUUUUAUAAUUUUAUCACAAAAUUUAUGAUUUUAAUUAUAAUAUAAUGAGUAUUAAGAGUAUAUUUAAGCUACAUUGUAUAAGUGGUAUAUAGAUAAUUUUUUAGGAGUAUGUUAUAAAAUUUGUCUUUGCUUUUAUUAAUUAUAAAAUUUUAUAUUACCUGCAUUGAAUUAUAUGUUUAUAAGAUUGUCACCUUUUUUUAUUUUCAAUUGUGUAAAUAGAUUCUUGAUUUUAAUUUGCUAUUAAUAAAAUUAUUGAUAAGAGCAAAUUAUUUUUAUUUCUAUUCCGCUCAUCCUUUUCAUUAUCAAAAAAUCAUUGUUAGAUUAUAAGCUUAAUUACCAUUUUUUUUUUUUUAUUUUAAAAAUAUAAUUUUGUUAUUAUGUAAGUGAGUUUCUAGCAUAGAUAUCAAAAAAGAGAAAAUUAUCGUGAUAUACUAAAAACAUUAAAAAAAAAAUGUAAAAGAGAUAAUUGUUGAUACUAUAGAGUAUAGAGGUUGAAAUAGGCAUUUAAAAAAGUUGAGAAACAAGGGAGAGGAUAACUAUUGUUCAAACUAGACUGGCAAUUUGAUUUUUAGCAAAGUUUGGUGUAAAUAAUUUCCAUCCAUUUUUUUUUUGUUGUUUAUUAAUUUCUUGAAAAAUAGUUAGCGAAUUUAGAAAUUACUCAAUAUUUAGCCACUUUUUAAUGCAAAAAAAUAUUUUUAGUUUGGUGGUGUAAAUAAUUUACAUCCAUUUAUUUUUGUUGUUUAUUAAUUUCUUGAAAAAUAGUUAGCGAAUUUAAAAAUUACUCAAUAUUUAGCCACUUUUUAAUGCAAAAUAUAUUUUUUUGAAAAAUCCUUAGCUAAAAUACGAAAAAACUCUAGAAACUUUUACUAAAAAUGAACAUUUAUCAUGGAUUAUGCUUAGUGUAUGAAAGGUGAAGUUCGAACUCUAAGAAAAAAUCGUCAAGUUUGAAGUGUGGUAGUUCAAACUCCACGAAAUGAAGUCCAAGUCCAUGAACAAGAGAGUGGAGCAAUCAUCUGUUACUCUCUUCUCUCACAAUUUCACUAUCAACACAUAAUUGGAACCAUAUUUUUGAAGAGAAAUAGCAGAAUCCAAAUUUGAAAAAGAAAAAGAAAUGAAUUCACAGGGAUAUGCAGUUGUUUUCUUCAUAGUUUUGUUGGGCAACUAUGCAAAUCAUUAUGAACAAGGACUUUCCUGUUGCAGAAAAUUGUGACAAAAGCAACAUCAGUGCAACGAUUGAAAAUAAUGUUCUUUAUGUUAAACAACCAAAACUAAUAACUUCAGCAGAGAAACCAGCCAAUGAACUACAUACUCAGAAGAAAAACCAAAGAACACUAGUCCUAAAACCAGUGAGUGAGCAACCAGAAGCUAAAAAAACUGUCCCGAAGAAGUAGCACUUCAGAAGAUGGAGAGAGCAAGUUCUUGCAGUGAAUCUGAAAAUGAAUCGACGAAUGCUAGUGAUUUGGCUGCAAACCCGAAUAUGCCAAGGAAAGACUACUGCUGCUCUUUUGGUUCUAUGUCACCACUAUGACAGAAGUCUAUCAAGAAGCUGAAGAAUGAGACUAAUCUUUCUGUUGCUCCAAUUCAACACUAUGACAAAGUCUAUCAAGAAGCUGAAGAAUGAGACUAAUCUUUCUGUAGCUCCAAUUUUGUUGGGAUAUUUGCAUUUACUCCCAGCUAUGAUUGUGAAUAAGAUAACUAACAAAGGAUUCCAUUUUCAUUUCUAAAAUACAAUCAAUAAAUUUGUUAUCAAUCUAAAAUCAUCAUUCGAAUAAAUCAUAAAUGCUACUGAGGUGAAAUAAUCUGCAUUUCAUGUGUAAUCUUUCACCACGACAGAUAAAGCAAAAUAGGUUACGGUAGAAGGGAAAAUGGCACGAAGUAGCAGAAUAUCUCUCAGUUAUAGGCCUGUAAACGCCAAUGCAGCAGUUAAGAAAGAAGAAGAAUACGCAGGCAUGUCAUUUAGUCAACUAAAAUAUGACAAAGAUUUUGUCAAAUCCACAACAUCUGUGACAUUUCUUGUAAUUAAGAACUGCUAGAACUCCUCAAAAGAUGCAGUAACCUUGUCAGCACCAAUGGACUGUUUUGGAGAUUUAGCUUCCGUAGUUUCCAUGGAAGGUUUAAUUUUGGAGAUUUCAUCUUCCAAGUGCGAGGAAAACGUUGCCUGAAACUUGAAAAGACGUCAAAAGAAUGUAGAGAAGUAAAGAAAGGCAUAGCUAUAUCCAUUUGGCUCAAGCUGUCAAAAGAAAGUAAGAAAGUAAAGAAGGGUAUUUAGCUAUUAGCUUACAUUAGGUUAAAGCUAUAUAAGCGACCAUGGCAGCAUUUCUUCUGCCUAUUUCUUGGACUUUGCAGCAUUCUCAUGAAAGACUUCUCCUUCAAUUUCUACACUUUGAGUAGGAAGAAUGAAUUACAGAAGGGUAUUAGCUAUUAGCUUACAUUAGGUUAAAGCUAUAUAAGCGACCAUGGCAGCAUUUCUUCUGCCUAUUUCUUGGACUUUGCGGCAUUCUCAUGAAAGACUUCUCCUUCAAUUUCUACACUUUGAGUAGGAAGAAUGAAUUUGGAAAAAGGUGAUAAAUGCUACUUGAUUUUCUAAAAUGUCAAACAGUUUAGAAAAAUUUUUAAUUUGUCAAAAGAACAAAUAGUAUAAACCAGAUACAGUAGAGAUAUACAAGACAGGUUGACUACAAAUCAUUAUAAACCAGUUGAGGGUUCAAAUGACCAGCACAGGAAAUCCGAAGAUCGGUGGACAAAGGUCAGUUGGGUAGAAUAAAUGGCAGAGGAUUCAGGACUUUCCUGUUGCAGAAAAUCGUGACAAAAGCAAAAUCAGAGCAAAGCUUGAAAAUGGCAUUCUUUAUGUUAACUUCUUUUUUUGAUAAGGACCAAUAUUUAUUUGGACAAUAUGAAAUCCCAUUACAUUGAAGCACAACUCCAUAUUCAGCUGCGGAAAGGCUUAAGCGCAUAGGAUCCUUCUGGUUUGCCUUUAUGUUAACUUCAGCAGAGAAACCAGCCAAUGAACCACAUACUCGGAAGAAAAGUCAAAGAACACUAGUCCUAAAACCAAUGAGCAACCAGUUGACUAAAAAUCUACCAAAAACAUCCGUCCCGGAAAAGUAGUACAAGUGACACUUCAGAAGCUAGUCCUAAAACCAAUGAGCAACCAGAAGCUAAAAAUCUACCAAAAACAUCCGUCCCGGAAAAGUAGUACAAGUGGCACUUCAGAAGGAGAGAGAGCAAGUUCUUACAGUGAAUUGAAAAUGAAUCGAGGAAUGCUAGUGAGUAGGCUGCAACGCAAGAUGCUAAAGGAAAGCGACAAAAUGACUCAUGCUGCUGUUUUAGUUCUUGGUAUUGGACUCUAUCUAAAAUCAUCAUUUGAAAUAAACCAUAAAUGCUGAUAAGGUGAAAUGAUCUGCAUCUCAUGUAUGCUCAUUCAACACGACAGAUAAAGCAUAACAAGUUACGAUAGAAGGGAAAAUGGGACCAAUAAGCAGAAUAGCUCUGCAUCUCAGGCCUGUAACCAUCAAUGCAGCAGUUAAGAAAGAAGAAGACUACUCGGGCAUGUCAUUUAGUCAACUGAAGUAUGACAAGAUUUUGUAUCCAAGACAUCUGUGACAUUUCCUGUAAUUAAGAACUGCUAGAGCUCUUUGCCAAAUGACAUAGCAGCAUCCUUCCUUUGCUAAACAAAAGGAAAUAAAAGAGGGAGAGACAUAGAUUAAUAAGAAAUAACUGUAUGGUUGAGCAGCUAUUUAGCAGAGUAUCUACUCUGAUGAUCAUUGUUUGUUGGAUUUCCAAUCCAAAACUAUAUGCAAGGACCUGACACCAAAUCACCAAUUGGAUUAACUGACUUGUAAAAUAAGAUCAAUCUUAGCAGGUAAAGAUUGUCUUGUAUGGAGCAGCUAAUUAGAUUUUCCACAUGAGAGAGAGAGUAGAUCAAUCUUAGCAGGUAAAGAUUGUUUUGUAUGGAGCAGCUAAUUAGAUUUUCCACAUGAGAGAGAGAGAGAGAGAUGUCAUGGUGUCGUUGCAGCUAAUGAUUUAGUUCCUCUAGGCAGAUUGCACUGAAGAAAGUUACUUCUCAAAUCUUUUAGAGAUUUAGCUUCUGUACUUUCCAUGAAAGGUUCAGUUUUUUCAUCUUCCAAGUCAAAAGAACGUAGAAAAGUAAAAGAAAUGCAUUAGCUAGCAGCUAUAUCCAUUUGGCUCGAGAUGUCAAAAGAAAGUAAGAAAGUAAAGAAGGGUAUUAGCUAUUAGCUUACAUUUUGUAACAGCUAUAUAAACGACCUUGGCAGCAUUUCUUCUGCCUGUUUCUUGGACUUUGCAGCAUCCUCAUGAAAGACUUUUCCUUCAGUUUCUACAUUUGAGUAGGAAGAAUGAAUUUGAGAAAAAAGGGUGAUAAAUGCUUCUUGAUUUUCUAAAACAUCAAACAGUUUAGAAAAUAUUUCAAUUUAUCAAAACAACAAAUAUAAACCAGAUAGAGUAGAGAUAUACAGGACAGGUUGACUACCUAGACGAUGAGUGUUUUACCUUUUGAAAGGAAACUGUUGCCGGUGUCAUUAAUGCAAUAUAUGAAACAUAAUCUUCUGCUUCCUCUGCAGUCCAGUAUGCUCCAUGAGGACCAUUGAACAGUUCACCAGCCAAUGCUGAGAGCAUGGCUUAACUUCAGUAUACUUGCGAUUCUUGAGCCACAAUCAGGGUUAAACCAAAGUAUAUUGGUAUCCUGCAAGCAUCUUCUUGUUUCUGUCAGCAAUUUCAUCAGAGGAUGCAACCCGAAUGUCGUAAAUCCAGGACGAAUGCCAGCACCAUAAUUCACUCUCUCGUGUAACACGGAAAUUAGCUUCUCAGCUGACCUGGAGCUCUCAAUGGUGUCACGUCAGCUCUAUUGUCACAAUUAUGAUUGAUGUAACCAAGACCUUAGAAACGAUCAAGAAUAAUGUUUCUACAGCAAAUUCUAAGUUACAGGAAAUUGUUAUUGAAAUUCAAAAAGUAAGAAAAUGAUAAUACCUGAAGAUAACUAAAUACCACUGAAAAUGAUAAUCCUAGUAGACUUAUAAUGUGCACACAUAAGGAAACUCACGUUACUUCUCAUAUUAAGAGUGCAAUAAAAUAUGAUCCAGAACAAAAAAGCAGAGUGGCAAAAGAACUAAAAAUCAGAACAGGUGUACCUCUUUAAUAAGCUAGCUUGGAAAGCUUAAGCAAUGUUCUAAUUGCAUGCUUUCGACUUCUGCCAUUCCAUUGGAUGCAAUUUCUUUGGCCAAGGUAAAAGGAAAUUACAUCAUAUUGAUAACAAGUAAAAAAGAUAUUCACUUCUAACUUUACGAGUGAAAUUGUGGUAUCAUGUUAAGCAAAGAAGGAUCCUUCGCUAUAACAUCUAUUAGCAACUUUACUGUACUUGCAUCGAAUGAGAAGUCCCUUCCAGCCAUUUCCUUCAAAAAAGUUGUCAUUUCACUAGUUUUGCCAAACUUGAGAAAUCCCCGCACAAUAAUAUUGUAAGUGGCGUUGUCAGGCGAACAACCAUUGUGCUCCAUUUUUUUUAGCAUAUCUUUAGCUUCAUCUAACAAUCCUUCUAUACAAAAUCCACUUAUAAUUGUAUUAUAUGUUAUCACAUUAGGAAACAAUCCAAUCAAAGAAAGCUUCUCAAAAAUAGCACGAGCUUUGUCGAGCUGACCAUUUUUGCACAAUCCGUCAAUAAUAACUGUGUAAAGUUCAAUAUCAGUAUCUUCUCUCUUUCUUUCCAACUCAUG
rnacentral:lncRNA from 1 species